GGCCAGGUAGCCAAGUAGCUUAAGGCGCUUCUCUGCAAAAGAAGUAUACGCGAGUGCAAAUCUCGCCCUGGCCU
rnacentral:tRNA from 1 species